GAAUUACUCCAUGAGUCCUGAUACUCUGCCCGAAGAGAUCAAUAUAUAUGAUGGAGUUAAUAAUAGAAUAACUUUUCGAAGGGUCUACACUAAAACUUUUAAGUGUGUUUACCAGCUACAGAUGUUUCCAUUUGACUCGCAAACUUGUACUGUCAACAUGAACCUUAGGGAGUUGGAUAGGUCAGCUGUAAAUAUUUCUCCAGGACAGUUAAAAAUGGAGGGGGACACAGUUCUUACACAGGAA